rnacentral:rRNA from 1 species
UACGAAGGGUGCAAGCGUUACUCGGAAUUACUGGGCGUAAAGCGUGCGUAGGUGGUUUGUUAAGUCUGUUGUGAAAGCCCCGGGCUCAACCUGGGAAUGGCAAUGGAUACUGGCAAGCUAGAGUGCGGUAGAGGGUAGUGGGAAUCCCGGGUGUAGCGGUGAAAUGCGUAGAGAUCGGGAGGAACACCAGUGGCGAAGGCGGC